AGAAAUUCAAUUCAUUGAAAUAACAUAUAGUUUUGUUGUGUUUGAGCCUCGUUCUUUGUAGUGUUAAUUGUUAUUGUGUUUUGGUUAGGUGAAGGGACUGAAAAUCAACUUCUUCCAGUCGUGUAGGCUUGAUUUUAGACGCUGUUUCAGAUAAGUUUUGUGAGUUCUUGUUGGGUAGUCGAUCAAAUCAACAAUCAGGUGAACCUCAGACUUAGGAUUGGACGGCGACAUUGGAGCUCGAUUUUCAUGGUUUUGGGUUUAGUAUGUUACGAACUUUCAGUUUUAUGGACUUUUUCGGGCUUUGGACAUUUUAAUUUUGUUCGGGACAUUAUAAUUUAUUUUGGUAAUUGUUUUGCUAAAGUUUUUCGUUUUAAUUGGCAUUUAAAAUAAGACAACUAACAAUAAUCUUUAAUAAGCCCAAUUUGCUAUAAUGUGUCCACUGCCAAAUUUUGUCAAAAAAUAGCUAGAAUGUUUUUACACUCAAAUGACUUAAGUAAAAUGGAUUUGUUUUAGUAAAACUAUUAAACAUGGUUUUCC